AAUCAAUAGCACACAAUAUAACCUGGGAUCCCACAGGCAGUCGUCUUUUAACUGGUUCCAGCUAUUUGCAGCUCUGGUCCAAUACUAACUUGGAGAAGCCAACUGAAGAUGAAAAUUUAAAUAAAACAGAUCUUAACUUUGGAGAUUGGAGAUGCAUUUGGCAUUGCAAAACUGCUUCCCAAGUUCAUUUAAUGAAAUUUUCACCAGAUGGAGAAUUUUUUGCCACUGCUGGGAAGGAUGACUGUCUUUUGAAGGUAUGGUAUAAUGUAGAAAACUGGCGGACAGCUGUUACUUCUCCAGAUGGAAGUUCAGAAAAACAAUCCCAAGGAGAAAUUGACUUUUCUUUUGUGUAUCUGGCCCAUCCUCGAGCAGUAAAUGGAUUUUCCUGGCGUAAAACAAGCAAAUAUAUGCCUAGGUAAAUCUGAGACAUUUUCGUAGAGGUCGGAGGAGAUCACUUGCACUGGUAGCACAUACGGGAUAUCUGCCACAUCAGCAGGAUCCUCAUCAUGUUCACAGGAACACUCCACUGCAUGCCAAUGCACUUUGCCACUUUCAUAUUGCAGCCAGCAUCAACCCAGCCACAGACAUUCCACUUCUUCCAUCUAUUACAUCUCUGAGUCUAAAUGAAAAUGAAGAGGAGACUGGACCUUUUGUUGUACACUGGCUAAACAAUAAAGAACUGCAUUUUACUUUGUCCAUGGAAGUU
rnacentral:sRNA from 1 species